rnacentral:rRNA from 1 species
CCUGCUCAAUGAACUUAAAUAGCCGCUUUAUAGUGCUAAGGUAGCAUAAUAAAUUACUCUUUAAUUAAGAGAUAGAAUGAAAGGAAACACGAUUUAUCAAUUGUAUCAAAAUAUCUCAUAAAAUUAUCACAACUAGUCAAAACACUGUUAUCAACCUAGCAGGACGACAAGACCCUAUCGAACUUAUCAUUUUCAUUUCACUGGGACGGUAAAAAACAAAAUCUUUUUAGCUUUUCCAAUCAACGCCCUCAAAUAGAAUAAAAACAAGUUACCGUAGGGAUAACAGCAUAAUAGUUUAGAAAAGCUCUCAUACAACAAACUGUUUAUGACCUCGAUGUUGAAUUAACAAACCUAUUUACAGAAAAGAGUAAAAAUGUAAGUCUGUUCGACCUUUAAAAUGUUACAU